UUUAGGAGCUGGAACAGGGUUCACAGCCGGUUUCAAGCCAGCUCAAUUUUUGUGGAGAGUUCCAGUUGCAGGAUCGUAUCUAGCUCUUGGGAC
rnacentral:tRNA from 1 species